GAAAUAUAAAAUCGAGAAAAGCUUCUAACUUUUCACUGUAGCAGUGAAAUUCUGUUAAUAUUUCU
rnacentral:tRNA from 1 species